GUGGGAGCGAGCCUGCUCGCGAUGACUUCGUGUCAGUCAACAUCACUGUUGAAUGAUCCACCCUUUCGCGAGCAGGCUCGCUCCCUC
rnacentral:misc_RNA from 1 species